GAUGAACGCUAGCUACAGGCUUAACACAUGCAAGUCGAGGGGCAGCAUGGUCUUAGCUUGCUAAGGCCGAUGGCGACCGGCGCACGGGUGAGUAACGCGUAUCCAACCUGCCUUACACUCUUGGACAGCCUUCUGAAAGGGAGAUUAAUACAAGAUGUUAUCAUGAGUAAGCAUUUUCGCAUGAUUAAAGGUUUACCGGUGUAAGAUGGGGAUGCGUUCCAUUAGAUAGUAGGCGGGGUAACGGCCCACCUAGUCUUCGAUGGAUAGGGGUUCUGAGAGGAAGGUCCCCCACAUUGGAACUGAGACACGGUCCAAACUCCUACGGGAGGCAGCAGUGAGGAAUAUUGGUCAAUGGACGAGAGUCUGAACCAGCCAAGUAGCGUGAAGGAUGAAGGUUCUAUGGAUUGUAAACUUCUUUUAUACGGGAAUAAACGGAUCCACGUGUGGAUUUUUGCAUGUACCGUAUGAAUAAGGAUCGGCUAACUCCGUGCCAGCAGCCGCGGUAAUACGGAGGAUCCGAGCGUUAUCCGGAUUUAUUGGGUUUAAAGGGAGCGUAGAUGGGUUGUUAAGUCAGUUGUGAAAGUUUGCGGCUCAACCGUAAAAUUGCAAUUGAUACUGGCAGUCUUGAGUACAGUUGAGGUAGGCGGAAUUCGUGGUGUAGCGGUGAAAUGCUUAGAUAUCACGAAGAACUCCGAUUGCGAAGGCAGCUUACUAACCUGUAACUGACAUUGAUGCUCGAAAGUGUGGGUAUCAAACAGGAUUAGAUACCCUGGUAGUCCACACGGUAAACGAUGAAUACUCGCUGUAGGCGAUAUACAGUCUGCGGCCAAGCGAAAGCAUUAAGUAUUCCACCUGGGGAGUACGCCGGCAACGGUGAAACUCAAAGGAAUUGACGGGGGCCCGCACAAGCGGAGGAACAUGUGGUUUAAUUCGAUGAUACGCGAGGAACCUUACCCGGGCUUAAAUUGCAACCGAAUAUGGCGGAAACGCUAUAGCUAGCAAUAGCGGUUGUGAAGGUGCUGCAUGGUUGUCGUCAGCUCGUGCCGUGAGGUGUCGGCUUAAGUGCCAUAACGAGCGCAACCCUUGCCGAUAGUUACUAACAGGUUAUGCUGAGGACUCUGUCGGGACUGCCAUCGUAAGAUGUGAGGAAGGUGGGGAUGACGUCAAAUCAGCACGGCCCUUACGUCCGGGGCUACACACGUGUUACAAUGGGGGGUACAGAGGGCUGCUACCACGCAAGUGGAUGCCAAUCCCAAAAACCUCUCUCAGUUCGGAUUGAAGUCUGCAACCCGACUUCAUGAAGCUGGAUUCGCUAGUAAUCGCGCUUCAGCCACGGCGCGAUGAAUACGUUCCCGGGCCU
rnacentral:rRNA from 1 species